rnacentral:rRNA from 1 species
GUGCCAGCCGCCGCGGUACUACAGAGGGUGCAAGCGUUAAUCGGAAUUACUGGGCGUAAAGCGCGCGUAGGCGGCUUGGUCAGUCGGAUGUGAAAGCCCCGGGCUUAACCUGGGAAUUGCAUUCGAUACUGCCAGGCUAGAAUGUAGUAGAGGGAAGUGGAAUUCCGGGUGUAGCGGUGAAAUGCGUAGAUAUCCGGAGGAACAUCAGUGGCGAAGGCGACGUCCUGGACUAACAUUGACGCUGAGGUGCGAAAGCGUGGGGAGCAAACAGGAUUAGAUACCCGAUAGUCC